UUUGAGAGCUGGGUCGGUACUGCAGACAUCUCUUCUGCAUUGUUGGGUGCCGUCUCUGCUGCAUGUGGUCAUUGGCCAGCCCUGGCAUCCCCAGGGGAAUGGCAGCAGUGAGGUAGAUGGGAGGACAUUUCUGGUCGGGGAACCGGCAUCCCAUUCAGCUUCUCGGGACUCACAGGCCAGCAUGUGUUCCAUGGCUGGGAAUUGCCUACCACCCACACCAGCUUCUGUUUACCUUUUUGGCAUCAAAUAAUGGACAGUGUUUGGAAAUCUUUCUACAGGCAAUUACCUCCCCAAGAGAAGCCUUCCUUACUUUGGAGUAAGGUCCUAAGACAGCUGGAUGAGUCAGGAAAACCAUGUGCCCUCUAGGUAUUAUUAAUAUAAGCAGGAAGGGAUCUACUAUAGGAAUGAAGUAUUUAUAAAACCACUGAAAGGGAUAGAGAAGUGAAAAUUGGAGAAAGCCAGUAGCAACUGUCAGAAAUCAGCAACGUGCAGGAGGCACAGAAAACUCCUGCUGAUGGUCUCAGCUUCCAGCAGCACAAAAGCAGAUGAUGUACUGGAAAGUGCUCAGAAGAUGCUACAAAACCUCAUGCCUAGUGUCUGCCACUGCUGGAAAAGGAAUCAUGGUUUCUAGAAGGGCCUCUCAUUAGUGGACUUUAAAGCAAAUCCUGGCUGGCAGGAAAUUCUGAGGAAUAUAGUUCUUAGGCUUCCAGCCUCUACCAUGCAGGAGAGAACACAGAAGGACUGAUACAUGUUAGUGGAUCCAUGUAUGUGUCCAGCACAGCGGCCUGCUGGACUCUGAGAACUGGGAAAGAUCAGAGCAAGCCUUGCCUCUUAUCUUCGGGAAACCAGAAUAUGUUUGGGGUGGUAGGAGCCACGCAGACUCUCCUGAGUCCCCUCACGGACUUCCUUCCCCCUGUGCCUUUCCUUUGAGAGUGAAGAUGGGUGGAGUUGACCAGGGAAAGCGGAGAGAAUUCAGGAAAGACCCAAAGUGUUUGUAAUUCUUCUUUGUCCUUUUACCUACAGAAAUGGUCACAAGGUUCUAUUUAAAUAGCCUAAUAAACACAUCUGGAGCCUGUCUUGACUGUGGUCCUCUCCUUUGAGCUCCUUCCUAGAGCAUGGAAUCCUGAUUUCAGGACUAGAAGCUUAGCCUAGGGCUGAAAUUCCUUCCCCAACUCCCUACAUUUUAUUUUGAAGGAUUUCAGACCUACAGAAAAGAUGAAAGAAUAGUUCAACAGAGGCCCUAUAUCCUUUGUCUACUAUGUAGCUGUAAAGUCUGGAAAUAGGCAAAUAUUCAUAAUGCCAUCAAGAACAUCUUCAAUCAUAGAAAAAUAUGAUAGGCCAGACGGGGUGGCUCAAGCCAGCACUUGGGGAGGCCAAGACGGGAGAAUCACUUGAGCCCAAGAGUUUGAGACCAGCCUGGGCAACACAGCAAGACUCUGCUUCCAAAAAAUUAAAAAAAAAAAUGUUUCCAUACUUUGUGGUUACCCUAUAGAUUCAUCAAUUGUUAAUUUUUGGCCACAUUUACCUCAUCUUUAGAUGUCUGUAUAAUUUUUUUUCUGAAUAAUUUAAAAGUUAUAGACAUCAGGCCAGGCGCAGUGACUCACACCUGUAAUCCCAGCACUUUGGGAGGCUGAGGCAGGUGGAUCACUUGAGGUCAAGAGUUCAAGACCUGCCUGGCCAACAUGGCAACACACCUUCUCUACCAAAAAAAAAAAAAAAUACAAAAAUUAGCUGGGCAUGGUGGCAUGCACCUAUAGUCCAGCUACUCGAGAGGCUGAGGCAGGAGAAUCGCUUGAACCCGGGAGGCGAAGGCUGCAGUGAGCCGAGAUUGUGCCACUGCACUCCAGCCUGUGACAGCGAGACGCCAUCUCAAAAUAAAUAAAUUCAUUAACUACAUAUCAUCAUUAUAGAUAAUUUUAGCCUUUCUCCAUUAAAAAAGAGCUUUCCAUUUUUUAAAGGGAUGGCACUUUUUUUUUUCUUUUUUUGAGACGGCUUCACUGUGUCGCCAAAGCUGAAAUGCCAUGGCAUGACCACAGCUCACUGUAGUUGUGACCUUUCAGGUUCAAGCGAUCCUCCCACCUCAGCCUCCCAAGUAGCUGAGACUACAGGUGUGCACCACCAUGCCUGGCUAAUUGUUAAAGUUUUUGUGGAGAUACGGUCUCCCUAUAUUUCCCAGGCUGGUCUCAAACUCCUGGGCUCAAGUGAUCCUCCCACCUCAGCCUCCCAAAGUGCUGGGAUACAGAUGUGAGCCAUUGUGCCUGGUGAAGGGGUGAUACUCUUAACCUGGAAGUUGUAUGUUAUAUGUGUGAGACAGAGGGAGUGGGGAGGGGCAUUUUCCUGGGAAGAGGCUCCAUAAGUUUCAUACCUUAUGUCAUAGGGUACCAUGAUGCCAGAAGUAAUCUAGUAUCACUGCCAAAUGAGGCAUGCUAAGCUCAGCCUCUAGCUCAGUGACUAAGAAUGGGGCCUCCCCACCUCUCAGGUAAGCAUGUGCGUUUCCCUGUGCCCAGUGGGUGUGAAUAUCAGUCCUUCCUUGAUCCUGUGGUAACAUGGUAAGUGUUACUACCUCUCCUUUAUUCAUGAAAUAUUAAGCAAGCACAAAUGGUGUGCCAGGGACUGCACUGGGUGGCAGGGAGGAACAAGACCUGUCCUGGCCCUCAAGGCACUCACUGCCAUGUUGACAGAUGGGUAAAGAGAUUAAUUCCAGGCUUCUCAGUCAAGGUGUGCAGGCAGGUCAUGGGAGCCAGGGGCAUGUUUGGUUCGGAGGGACUAGGAGCAGGACAGGAGAUACCCUUUUCUUACCACCUCCAUUGCCCCUGCUGCACUGGAAAGCCUGGCCCUGGGGCAGCCUGUGGGGUGACCCGUGCUGCUUGGGGAGCUGCUUCCCGAGACUUCCCCUGAUCUUGACAUUCAAGAAGCGAGCACGGGGCCGAGGCAGGUGCGCCAUCAGAUAACCUGGGACCACUCAGGUUUCUCCCAGCUGCCAGGGCUUGUGCCACUUGAGACGUCCGGGCCCUCCCUGCCACGACACCUCAUAAGGCCCGUGCAGAGGAGCUGGGUAGGAGCCAGGGCCAAGUGGGGGUGGCACAGAUCACCUUCUGUGACUCAGUCUGGUCUUUCCUUCACCAGAUGAAUCAGAAGCUCCUGGAGGUGGAGCCCGGGAAUCUAGUUUUUCAAUGCUCAUAGAUGGCCCUAAUGAUCAUUCCCUUUUGGGAACCCCUGAUUACAAUCAUUUCUUGCCUUCCAUGCCAGGAGCUGGGGGCAGGAGGAAAGGGGGACAUGGCUAUUUCCAGUGUCCUGUGACAAAGUGGGAAGGGGGACCUUCAUUCCACAUCCUAGCCCUUCCAUGACUCAUCCAUCAGGGGGCUUCUCCUCCCCCGUAGUGGGACCUGGGUUGUCAUCUUUUCACCUGCCCUACAUGGACGCAAGUAAAAGGGGUGAACAACCCCCUUUGGUGAUGAAGUUGGGGACUUAUAGUACAUGUGGGUAUGUGGUUACAGCUUGAAGCACCAAACCCUCUGUGUGCAGACAGAGCACUGGUCAUUUGAAUGCCCUCCAACUGAGCCACCCCUCCCCGCUGCCGAAUUGUGUGAGGUCGACAGGACGGCUCUUUUCAUUUCCAUCUUACAGAUAGGGACAUUCGUGGAGGCUCUGUAACUCGACUCAAGUCCUAUAAGCGUUUAGGUUAAAUCUCAAGAAGUGGAAUUGCUGACUCUACGGAUUUGCACAUCCUUUGUUUGGAUACACAACGCCAGACUACCCUCCAGGAAGCCUGCCCAAUUCACACCACUUUUGCCAGCCUGCUAGUGCUCAUUUCUCAACCUCAUCAAUAGCAAGCAUGAUCAAUUUUUCCAGAUGAUUCCAACUUGAAGAGCAUUCCUUUUUUUUUUUUUUUUUUUUUUUU